rnacentral:lncRNA from 1 species
AGCAUCUAUGUACUUUAACACUCUCGAGGUGUAUGGAUCUAGAGAAAGUGAAGAUCGAACGUAACAUAAUUAAAGGUGUAGGAUGCUUCCAUAGCCUUCGAUCUGUAAUCCUAGACGAAUGCAAUCAUUUGAGGGAUGUGAGUUGGGUAACCUUGGCUCCACAUUUGGAAGUACUAAGGAUAACUGAAUGCAAUGGUUUAGAAGAAAUCAUCAGUGAAGAAAAACAUGGUGAAGUCGCUGAGCUAAAAGGAAAUUCAAACUUAUUUUCUAAGCUCGAGAUUUUGUGUCUACAUAAUCUGGCCAAACUAAAGACUAUAUACCAUCAUGCUCUGCCUUUCCCACAGCUGAAGAAAAUCAGAAUAGUAAAAUGCGGAAUGUUGAAGAAGCUCCCACUAAACUCCAAUAGUACAAAAGGACAGAGACUAGUCAUUGAAGGAGAGGAGGGAUGGUGGAAAAAUGUAGAAUGGAAGGAUGAAUCCACUCGAAUUGCUUUUCUCCCUUCUUUCAAACCUUAUGUAAUCUAAGAAAUGUUGGAUAUUAAUUAAGGCUUAAAGCCUUGAUUGUAUCAUAACAUACCUCAUUGUAAGUUCUAUUUUGCCUAUCCUUAGAUUACAUGUAGCUUGGUUCUGUGUUUUACACACAGACUUUUUUUCUUUAGUAUGAAUUUCAAAAUAUAUUAUAUUAAUGAAUUAAAAUUUGAAGUAUAACUUUCAACAUAUCACAUCAUUUUCUUUUAAUUUUAUAACUAAAAAUUUCCAUAAUUAUAGUAAAAUUAAUUUUUUUUCUUAUAAAAGUUGUUUUAGUUUGUAUUUCUGUGUAUAUUUAAAUAUGAGAUAAUUUUUUAUAGGAGAGAAAAAUAUGUUAAGUAUAAAAUUGGAAUUUGGAAUUUUAAAAAAUUAAAAAUUUAAGUUUUAAUAAGUUAAUAAAAUAUAAUUUAUUUUCAUUUAUUAUACAUGUUAUCAAAAAAAAAACUUAUCAUGUAAAAUUAGAUACUAGAUAUUAAGAAUUAUAUUAUAAUAAAAUAACGGUGACAUUAUAUAAAUUUCAAUAUUUUUAUAUUAAAACUCAUUAAUACAAAUUAUUAACAUCUUAAAAUUUUUUAUGAAUAUGAUAUCAUGCAAGUACAAAAAUUAACAUAUUUUUUAAUGAUGUUUCAAUGUUGAAAUAUGAUUAAAUGAUUAGAUUAGGGUGUUUCAAAUUUAAAUAUAUAUAUAUAUAAUAAAAAAAAUUAUUAUUAUACAACUUAUUGUGGCAACAACAAGAGGACAUGAGUUUGAAUAUAAAUAAAUACAAAUUAUUUUUUUAUUCACACAUUUAAGAGUCUAUAAGUAGUAAUAGGAAAUGUAUAAAAAAAUUUAUUAUUUAUAUUGAUUUUUGUUUAAUAAUUUUCUUUAAAAGAAACUAACUUAAGCAUUAUUUUGAUAUCAUAUAUGAGCCUGGCUUAAUCUGUAAAUAUCUUUACUCAAAUCUGAUUACUAAAACUGAGAUUAUGUAUAUGAAUUCUCUAUAAUUAUAGGCUUAUAAACAAGUUAUUGCAAUUAAUACUCAAAUGGCAGUCUUUGAAUUUAAUAAGUUACAGCAAACUGAUUAGUUAAAUGUUUGAUGAGUAUAAUUAUUAGACAUCUCCUUCUCCUACUUCCUUUGCAUUUUGAAUUUAGCCCCUCUUGUAACACUAAAAUAACAUUAACAAGUAAAGAUUGUGUACAGAGGUAAGCAUACUAUGCCCAAUUUCAACUUGAUUUUGUAAUAUUUCCAUCAAAUAAUUUAUGCAUCUUUAUCAUAGCGUCAUAAUUAAAAGUGUGUGUCUACUUCUGCUGAUUCUCUUGUGUGGUGUGCUGAUAAUUUUGGGAAAUACUCGGUACUAAGUGGGUAUAAGCUGAUGAAAAAGUGAAAUCUUGUUUGUGUAUUAUUCUUUAUAUGCAAAAGAUCAUCUCAUUGAAAAAGAUGCAUUAAUACAUUGUAGGGAAUCAGUAAAUCAUGAGAAAAAUUAACACUGUAAUUUUUGGGUACUAAAAUCAUGAGAAAAAAUCGAAUACUAAAUGAUAUAUUAAAUCUUUAAAUAAAUAUUUACUUUAAAAUUUUAGAAACAAAAUUUUUUAAUUAAAUAAAAUAUAAAACCACUUAAAUUUAAUACAAUAUAUAAUUAUUUUUAUUAUUUUAAAUACUUUUUUAUAUAGUUUUUUUAAUUUAAAACAGUUUUGGAAAAAACUAUUUUUUUUGAAAACAUAUUUAUAAAUAUAAAUCUUUUUAAAAGAUUUAAAAAUAUAGUAUUUUAAUUAUAAUUGGUAAUAAUUUUAAAUCUUCGUACAUUUUUUAAUCAACAAAUUGUGAUAUAUUUUUAUCAUAUUUUUUAAUCAAAAAUUAUGCCCAUUUAUUUUAAAUUUUAAAUUAAUAAUUUAACUAUGUUCCAAAUAAUGUGUUGAAUUAAAAUAUAAAUAUUAAAGUUGAGUGGCACUCCACAAUAUUCACUACAUUUACUUACCACAACCUCAAUUAUUGCCCAUGUUGGAAGAGUACAGCAAUUGUCCCUGAAAACUAUCUGACCAAAAUUUUCAUCCCCACAAUUAGUUAUGGUUUAAUCAUAUUAUAUCAUAUUGUAACAUAAAGCUCAUGAGUGAAAAUCCUCAUAUCUUUUUUAUUUUGUCUAUAGUGCUCAACUUACCUCCUCUGCAUUUUGAAUCUAGACACCUGCUUUGAAGGUUGAGAACUAGAUGACUGCAGAGGGCAUUAAUUUUGCAAUAAUUUGGUGGGUAUACUACUUAAUAACUACAUACUCACAAAGAUGUGUAAGCACAAUUUUUUAUAUGGGUUCCAUGUCUUUAAUUGGAUUAUGAUAACCCCUGAAACAAUUUCUGAAUUCUUCCAUUGGCAUAUAUGGUCAUGAAUUCAGUUACCUUGAUCUUCCACUGUUUUCUGUUUUUUGCUGAUGUUUGUUUAAGUGGUAAUGAUAGUGCUUGUGAAUAUCUCAUACAUGAAUGCUGUGGGAAGCUAAUGCAGGGCAAAGCAAGUUGUGAGUUUCUACCCAACAUGCUCAUCUUAGUCUUUCUUUUCUGGUGGGAUCUUAAUAAUUGAGGUUCCUUUAUCUUUGUUGAAGUGGAAGCCUUUAAAGAAAGAGGUAGCUCCCAACAUGCCUGAUUUUUAUAUUAAACAAACUUUACACCUACUAUGAUUAAGUAAAAUAUGUUGUAUUAAUGUUGCUCAAGUUGUAAAAUAGAAUAAGAAAUUGCAUAUGGUAUCCACUGCACACAAAAUAUACCUUACAAUGGACCCAUUGUGUCAAAACCAAAUAAAGUGGGAUAAAAGACAGUUGUGUGCAAUACAAGUCUUCCCACCAAGUCAAUGAUUUUACACACUUUACUGUAGUUAUCAUCAUAUUCACUAUUUUUUUUUGGUAUCAAAAUGCAUGUGAACUUCCAACAGUUUGUCUUUGUUUUUCUCCCCUUUGCAGUCUAAACUUUCAUAGAACUCUAUAAGCAUCUUUGAUUUAUUCCUUGCUUCUAUUUCCAGAAAUUGUUGAACUCACUCUUCUAUAAUCAAAACCAGGUAUGGGUAAUAUCUUCUCAAUCUCACUUUCACUCGAUCCCAUCAUUACCCGUUGCUGGGAUUGUGCUACUGGACAGGCAAGUUAUAUAUGCAACCUCGAAGAUAACCUCCAUGCUUUACAAGCUGAAAUAGCAGGACUGAAGGAGCUCAGGAGUGAUCUGAUGAGCAGGGUCAGAAUUGCUGAAGAUGAGCAGCAGCUUAAGCGGCUAAACCAAGUUGAGGGUUGGCUUUCGAGGGCUGAAACUCUGAUAAACGAUGCUGAUCAACUGAUUUUCAAAGUCCUCAGCAUGUUGAAAAUCUAUGUAUGGAAGGUUGUUGCUCCACUCAUCCUAGUUCCAGCAUCAAGUUCGGGAAGCAAAUUGCCAAAAAACUCCAAGAGGUGAAAGACCAGAAGGAGAAUGGAGAUUUCAGUGAUUUAGCCAGCAAGCCACCACUUCCUUCAGCAACUGAAAGACCUAGUGAACCAACUGUGGGUUUAGAGUCCAAUUUCAACAAGGUUUGGAGCUGUCUUCAAAAGGAACAAGUGGGAGUUAGUGGCAUAUAUGGCUUAGGAGGGGUUGGCAAGACAACCCUCCUAAACCAAAUCAAUAACAAAUUCCAUGAUACUACCCAUGAUUACCAUGUCAUUUGGGCAGUUGCAUCACAAGAUCGGCCAAUUGAGAGAGUCCAGGAUCAAAUUGCCGAAAGAAUAGGCCUUUCUAAUGAAGGUUGGAAAUCUAAGAGCCUUGAUGAGAAAGCUGAAGACAUCUUCAAGGUAUUAUGUAAAAAGAAGUUUGCAUUAUUGUUGGAUAAUAUAUGGGAAUGGUUUGAUCUCACAAGAGCUGGGCUACCUCUUCCAACACAAGAAAAUGGCUCUAAAGUCAUUUUCACAACUCGUCGACUUGACGUGUGCUGUCAAAUGCAACCGAACAUGGAUAAUAAUAUCAGAGUGGAAUGUUUACCACCAGGAGAAGCUUUCAAACUGUUCGAGGAGAAGGUUGGAUCAGAAACCCUUCGAAUGUAUCCAGAUAUUUGCAAGUUAGCUGAAGCGGUUGUUGAAGAGUGUGCAGGGCUACCUCUCGCUCUCAUUACAAUUGGGCGAGCCAUGGCAUCCAAGAAGAGCCCUCGAGAAUGGGAAUAUGCUAUUGAAGUUUUAAGGCAAUCAGCAGCCUCUGUGUUGCUAGGGGUAGGGAAAGAGAUGUAUCCCAAGUUAAAAUUCAGUUAUGACUGUUUACCUGAUGAAAGGUUCAGAUCUUGUUUCUUGUAUUGUUCUUUGUAUUCAGAAGAUCAUCACAUCGUAAAAGACGAACUAGUAGAUUGUUGGAUCGGGGAAGGACUUUUGGACGAGCAUGCCACUUUGAGCAGUGCCAGAAACCAGGGACAUUUCAUUAUAGGUUCUCUUAUUGACGCAUGCUUAUUGGAAAAAGGACAUUAUAAUUAUGGUGUUAAGAUGCACGAUGUGAUUCGUGACAUGACUUUGUGGAUUGCUGGUGAAUCUGAGAAGGAGAAGUUUUUUGUAAAAUCAGGUGUUCAGUUAAAGAAACAACCGAAUGCUAAAAAGUGGGAAGAGGUAACAAGAAUGUCGCUGAUGGAUAAUCAAAUUGAAAAUCUAACUAAGAUAUUGGAAUGUCCCAAUCUCCAAACUUUGUUUCUUGGCAGGAAUGACUUGAAGGUAAUCAUGGAUGAUUUCUUUAAUUCUUUGCCGAUGCUAAGGGUUCUAGACUUGUCUUACAAUAAGCAUUUGAAAGAAUUGCCGGUUGGAAUUGGAAAGUUGGUUUCACUAGAACAUCUCAAUUUGUUAGGGACAAGAAUAAGAAAAGUUGCCAGUCGAAUUGAAGGCCCUAGCAAAGCUGAAAUAUUUGAAUCUGGAGUGGACAGGUGAUCUAAAAAUGAUCCCACACCAAUUGAUAUCCAGUUUUUCCAAGUUGCAAGUACUGAAAAUGGUGAGAUUUGGCUAUGGAUGUUUAUUGGUUUUGGAGGAAAUGGAGCAUUUAAAAUAUUUGAAUAUGUGGAGUCUUACUUUUAGAAGCGCUUCGGAGUUGGAAAAAGCUUCGAGGUUCAACUUCUUUAGCUGUGCCAUUGAACGUGUAUUCCUUAAAGAUUUCAGAGAUUCAAGAUCAUUGACUAUUAUGGCUUUAGCAAAUCUGCAGCAUCUAUCUACUUUAGCAUUCUUGAGGUGUAUGGAUUUAGCGAAAGUGAAGAUCGAACGGAACAUAAUUAAAGGUGCAGGAUGCUUCCAUAGCCUUCGAUCUGUAAUCCUAGAGGAAUGCAAUCGUUGGAGGGAUGUGAGUUGGGUAACUUUUGCUCCACAUUUGGAAGUACUAAGGAUAGCUGCAUGCAAUGGUUUAGAAGAAAUCUUCAGUGAAGAAAAACUUGAAGUCGUUGAGCUAAAAGGAAAUUCAAACUUGUUUUCUAAGCUAGAGAUUUUGAAUCUAUAUCAUU